UACAGAGGAUGCAAGCGUUAUCCGGAAUGAUUGGGCGUAAAGCGUCUGUAGGUGGCUUUUUAAGUCCGCCGUCAAAUCCCAGGGCUCAACUCUGGACAGGCGGUGGAAACUACCAAGCUGGAGUACGGUAGGGGCAGAGGGAAUUUCCGGUGGAGCGGUGAAAUGCGUAGAUAUCGGAAGGAACACCUGUGGCGAAAGCGGCUCACUGGACCAUUACUGACGCUGAUGUACGAAAGCUAGGGGAGCAAACAGG
rnacentral:rRNA from 1 species